rnacentral:sRNA from 4 species
UAUCUCUCCGUACGGGGAAGGAUGAGAAGCUUCGACUAAGGUUCGAUUCGAGCGCAGCGAGAAAGCGUUGCCGCAGGCAACGACCCGAAGGGCGAAACGCGCAGCGCUGAGUCAUCCUUCCCCCACCACCA